rnacentral:tRNA from 1 species
GCCUGGUUGGCUCAGUUGGUGGAGCAAGAGACUCUUGAUCUCAGGGUCAUGGGUUCAAGCCCCAUGUUGGGUG